UACAGAGCAAGGAAAGUUUCCAUUCACUA
rnacentral:piRNA from 1 species